UACAGAGGGUGCGAGCGUUAAUCGGAAUUACUGGGCGUAAAGGGUGCGUAGGUGGGAAGAUAAGUCAGAUGUGAAAGCCCCGGGCUUAACCUGGGAACUGCAUAUGAUACUGUUUUUCUAGAGUGGAGUAGAGGGUAGUGGAAUUUCCGGUGUAGCGGUGAAAUGCGUAGAGAUCGGAAGGAACGUCAAUGGCGAAGGCAGCCACCUGGCAUCAUACUGACGCUGAGGCGCGAGAGCGUGGGGAGCGAACAGG
rnacentral:rRNA from 1 species